CGUUCAAAUUGUUGUCUCUGAAGAUUCCGACCGACAAUCGUUGCUCACCCACUAACCGUAACUCUUUCUCUCUCUCUCUCUCUCUCUCUCUCUCUCAAACUUAAUUAGUACCUAAUCAUCUGUUUCGUAACCUAAGCUGAAUCAUUAAACCCUAACUAUAUCCACUCGCAUAAUUAGUACAAAAAAUAUGGAACACGAUGAAGACCGUUUGUCGAAUCUACCAAAAGUCAUUCUUCAUAACAUCAUGUCGAGGAGGAAUCCAGGAGGUUUAUAUUGAUGCCCAGUAUCUUGAGAAAUUUUGUUAUAGUCCUGGUCUUCGUUUUAACGCACAAUUUAAGAUUGUUUUUGAUAGAUGCCAAAAUUUGAAAUAUUUAAAAUUGUUGUAUUUGAGGAGAAGUAUUAUCACCGAUAAAUGGUUUCUUGAACUGUUUUCAGAAUAUCCUUUCCUUGAGAGUUUAAAAUUGCAUUAUUGUAAAAUGGCUGAGACGAUUAAUAUUUCAAGUGUUCAACUUAAGGUGUUGAAGUUAUCUAAUUGUUCUAACUUGAAGGAGGUUAAUAUUGAUGCUCCAAAUCUAUUAUCAUGUGUAUAUUGCGAUGGUGUUGAUUCAGAGCCUAUUAUAUCUUUUUUGACAAGUUCUAGUCAACUAAAAGUUGAUAUGACUUUUUUCAUUGAUUAUCAUCAUCUUUGUUUGUGACUUGAGGGAAUUUGUGCAAAACAUCAAACCUCAAAAUGUUUUGUCAUCUCUGUCCCUAUACAUCUAUGAUCGAACUGAGGAUGUACCGGUGGUAUUUCAAGUGUCAUCCCCUCCAGCAAGUAUCGAACACUUGCACCUUCAAAGUGUUCCAGAUAAUGAAACUUUGUUUUCAUCUACUAUAAAUACCUUACUUUCAAUUUGCUGCCCUGCAUUUAUAUCUUUGAGCUCACAUUCUUUGUGCAGUAAAGCAUUCAUUGAGUUUUUAUAUGAGACGCUAAUGGAAAGAAAGGGGGAUGACUGCUUGUGCAGUUCUAGUGAUACUAAGUGUUGGUGGCAUGGCUUGAAGAAUGUGAAAGUCAUAAGCUCAAUGAAGAUUGAUGAUAAUAUUGACUUCAAGACCAUGCUAGAAUUGUUGCCAAUUGAAGAAGAAAUUAGCUUUGUGUUAGAGUUUUAAUGUUGCUGAUGCUGUCAUAAACUCAGUGACAUGUUUUUACUUCAAAGUUUGAUGUUACCUCUUAAAUGCACAAUGACACAUUUGUUUUGAUAUACACUAUGGAAAAUGCUGAACGGUAUCGUAGAGUUAGUAACUCUUAGUUUGUUCUUUAUUAUUGGCUUUACUUAUUUGUAGUUCUUUAUUAUCUUCCAAUGAUUGAUAAC